UUAACACAUGCAAGUCGAACGGCAGAGAUCCUUCGGGGUCUUGAGAGUGGCGCACGGGUGAGUAACGCGUGGAUACCUACCUUCCGGUGCGGAAUAACCAAGGGAAACUUGGCUAAUACCGUAUGUGCUCGAGAGAGUAAAGAUUUAUCGCCGGAAGAUGGAUCCGCGUCGGAUUAGCUAGUUGGUGGGGUAACGGCCUACCAAGGCGACGAUCCGUAGCUGGUCUGAGAGGAUGAUCAGCCACACUGGGACUGAGACACGGCCCAGACUCC
rnacentral:rRNA from 1 species